rnacentral:rRNA from 1 species
AUUGAACGCUGGCGGCAUGCCUUACACAUGCAAGUCGAACGGCAGCACGGGAGCAAUUCUGGUGGCGAGUGGCGAACGGGUGAGUAAAGUAUCGGAACGUGCCCAGUCGUGGGGGAUAACGUAGCGAAAGUUACGCUAAUACCGCAUACGAUCUAUGGAUGAAAGCGGGGGAUCGCAAGACCUCGCGCGAUUGGAGCGGCCGAUAUCAGAUUAGGUAGUUGGGGGGGUAAAGGCUCACCAAGCCGACGAUCUGUAGCUGGUCUGAGAGGACGACCAGCCACACUGGGACUGAGACACGGCCCAGACUCCUACGGGAGGCAGCAGUGGGGAAUUUUGGACAAUGGGCGAAAGCCUGAUCCAGCCAUGCCGCGUGCAGGAUGAAGGCCUUCGGGUUGUAAACUGCUUUUGUACGGAACGAAAAGGUUUGGCCUAAUAAGCUGAGCUCAUGACGGUACCGUAAGAGUAAGCACCGGCUAACUACGUGCCAGCCGCCGCGGUAA